rnacentral:rRNA from 1 species
AGUGAACGCUGGCGGUAGGCCUCACACAUGCAAGUCGAACGAGUGGCGGACGGGUGAGGAAUACAUCGGAAUCUACGCUGUCGUGGGGGAUAACGUAGGGAAACUCACGCUAAUACCGCAUACGAAUGAAUGAGCCGACUUCGGAUUAGGUAGUGGGCGGGGGAAAGGCCCACCAAGGCGACGAUGCGUAGCUGGUCUGAGAGGCUGACCCGCCACACUGGUACUGAGACACGGUCCAAACUCCUACGGGAGGCAGCAGUGGGGAAUAUUGCACAAUGGGCGCAAGCCUGAUGCAGCCAUGCCGCGUGUGUGAAGAAGGCCUUCGGGUUGUAAAGUACUUUCAGCGGGGAGGCGUUACCCGCAGAAGAAGCACCGGCUAACUCCGUGCCAGCAGCCGCGGUAAUUC